UUUCUCAGGAUGGGUGCCUUCCGGCCUGCCUUGGUUCCUCAAAGUGAAAACCGGCCAUUCCCGCCGGGCCUUUGGCCGACUCACCCAUGGUGCGUGGACCGUGGGCGUCCUUGCUCUAGCCCAAGCCUACUCCUCCUCUGGGUCCCUGUCCCUCUGUGAGGCAUCGAGGCCCUGAAGACAGCCCAUGAGAUGUGGGACCCUCCCACACACCCCCACACUUAUCUACCACCCACCUGACCAGGCCCCCUGUGCCCUACAGCUGAGAGAGGACCCAGCAGAAGGGAGGGCGGCUCACUAGCACACCCCUGCAUGGACUGGGUGCCCUGUUCUCCAUGUGAGGCCUAAUGGGAAGGAGUUCAUUGCCAUGCUUUGGCAACCAGUACGUGGCUCCUGCUUGUCAUGGCAGCCAGAGGGAAACUGAGGCACAGAACCUGCUAGAAUCUGGGAAAGUUGAAAAUACUCCCAGGAACCUUUUCUCCUAACCUAACCACUGGGCAUCUUUGAGGACGAUUCAACAGUAGAAGAGAGGGACCUUGAGGAAGGUGCCUGUCACAUCAUGAUGCAGACAGAUAAGGGACUCAGAGACGGCUGAGGAUGACAUCAGCGAUGUGCAGGGGACCCAGCGCCUGGAGCUUCGGGAUGACGGGGCCUUCAGCACCCCCACGGGGGGCUCUGACACCCUGGUGGGCACCUCCCUGGACACACCCCCGACCUCCGUGACAGGCACCUCGGAGGAGCAAGUGAGCUGGUGGGGCAGCGGGCAGACGGUCCUGGAGCAGGAAGCGGGCAGUGGGGGUGGCACCCGCCGCCUCCCGGGCAGCCCAAGGCAAGCACAGGCAACCGGGGCCGGGCCACGGCACCUGGGGGUGGAGCCGCUGGUGCGGGCAUCUCGAGCUAAUCUGGUGGGCGCAAGCUGGGGGUCAGAGGAUAGCCUUUCCGUGGCCAGUGACCUGUACGGCAGCGCAUUCAGCCUGUACAGAGGACGGGCGCUCUCUAUCCACGUCAGCGUCCCUCAGAGCGGGUUGCGCAGGGAGGAGCCCGACCUUCAGCCUCAGCUAGCCAGCGAAGCCCCACGCCGCCCUGCCCAGCCGCCUCCCUCCAAAUCCGCGCUGCUCCCCCCACCGUCCCCUCGGGUCGGGAAGCGGUCCCCGCCGGGACCCCCGGCCCAGCCCGCGGCCACCCCCACGUCGCCCCACCGUCGCACUCAGGAGCCUGUGCUGCCCGAGGACACCACCACCGAAGAGAAGCGAGGCAAAAAGUCCAAGUCGUCCGGGCCCUCCCUGGCGGGCACCGCGGAAUCCCGACCCCAGACGCCACUGAGCGAGGCCUCAGGCCGCCUGUCGGCUUUGGGCCGCUCGCCUAGGCUGGUGCGCGCCGGCUCCCGCAUCCUGGACAAGCUGCAGUUCUUCGAGGAGCGACGGCGCAGCCUGGAGCGCAGCGACUCGCCGCCGGCGCCCCUGCGGCCCUGGGUGCCCCUGCGCAAGGCCCGCUCUCUGGAGCAGCCCAAGUCGGAGCGCGGCGCACCGUGGGGCACCCCCGGCGCCUCGCAGGAAGAACUGCGAGCGCCAGGCAGCGUGGCCGAGCGGCGCCGCCUGUUCCAGCAGAAAGCGGCCUCGCUGGACGAGCGCACGCGUCAGCGCAGCCCGGCCUCCGACCUCGAGCUGCGCUUCGCCCAGGAGCUGGGCCGCAUCCGCCACUCCACGUCGCGGGAGGAGCUGGUGCGCUCGCACGAGUCCCUGCGCGCCACGCUGCAGCGCGCCCCAUCCCCUCGAGAGCCCGGCGAGCCCCCGCUCUUCUCUCGGCCCUCCACCCCCAAGACAUCGCGGGCCCAGAGCCCCGCCGCUGCCCAGCCGCCCCCUCCGAGCAGCGCGGGGAAGCCGGGGGACGAGCCUGGGAGGCCUAGGAGCCGGGGGCCGGCGGGCAGGACAGAGCCGGGGGAAGGCCCGCAGCAGGAGGUUAGGCGUCGGGACCAAUUCCCGCUGACCCGGAGCAGAGCCAUCCAGGAGUGCAGGAGCCCUGUGCCGCCCCCCGCCGCCGAUCCCCCAGAGGCCAGGACGAAAGCACCCCCUGGUCGGAAGCGGGAGCCCCCGGCGCAGGCCGUGCGCUUCCUGCCCUGGGCCACGCCGGGCCUGGAGGGCGCUGCUGUACCCCAGACCUUGGAGAAGAACAGGGCGGGGCCCGAGGCAGAGAAGAGGCUGCGCAGAGGGCCGGAGGAGGACGGUCCCUGGGGGCCCUGGGACCGCCGAGGGGCCCGCAGCCAGGGCAAAGGUCGUCGGGCCCGGCCCACCUCCCCUGAGCUCGAGUCUUCGGAUGACUCCUACGUGUCUGCUGGAGAAGAGCCCCUAGAGGCCCCCGUGUUUGAGAUUCCCCUGCAGAAUGUGGUGGUGGCACCAGGGGCAGACGUGCUGCUCAAGUGUAUCGUCACUGCCAACCCCCCGCCCCAAGUGUCCUGGCACAAGGAUGGGUCAGCGCUGCGCAGUGAGGGCCGCCUCCUCAUCCGGGCCGAGGGUGAGCGGCACACCCUGCUGCUCAGGGAGGCCAGGGCAGCGGAUGCCGGGAGCUAUAUGGCCACCGCCACCAACGAGCUGGGCCAGGCCACCUGUGCCGCCUCACUGACCGUGAGACCCGGUGGGUCUACAUCCCCUUUUAGCAGCCCCAUCACCUCCGACGAGGAGUACCUGAGCCCCCCAGAGGAGUUCCCAGAGCCUGGGGAGACCUGGCCCCGAACCCCCACCAUGAAGCCCAGUCCCAGCCAGAACCGCCGUUCUUCUGACACUGGCUCCAAGGCACCCCCCACCUUCAAGGUCUCACUUAUGGACCAGUCAGUAAGAGAAGGCCAAGAUGUCAUCAUGAGCAUCCGCGUGCAGGGGGAGCCCAAGCCUGUGGUCUCCUGGCUGAGAAACCGCCAGCCUGUGCGCCCGGACCAGCGGCGCUUUGCGGAGGAGGCUGAGGGUGGGCUGUGCCGGCUGCGGAUCCUGGCUGCGGAGCGUGGCGAUGCUGGUUUCUACACUUGCAAAGCAGUCAAUGAGUAUGGCGCUCGGCAGUGCGAGGCCCGCUUGGAGGUCCGAGGCGAGUGAGCUCAGGGGGCCACCUGCGCUCCCCCCGCUACCCUCCGAGCCGCGCCCCUGUCUCAGGCACCUCUCGGACCUCGCUGUGUUUCACUGCCUCCUGCCCACAGACCCAGGCCUGCCGGCCCGGACCCGUCCCAGCCUCCCCUCCCACCCCAUGCAGCCCCCAGGGGGAUAGCCCAUGGGCCCCUGUGGACCCUCCCUCCCCAAGUGGACACAUGGCUGUGCAGGCCAGGAGGCCCACAGAUGGACUGAGUGCUGGGAAGGGGUGGCUGCGAGGGGUAUCAACCCCCCGAGUCUCUCCCUGAAGGGGAGCACCGGGCGAGUGCAUGUGCUACUGCUGCUACAGGCCUGUCUAUCUGUUUGUCUGUCUGUGUGUCUGUGAUAGUCAGGGAAGGAUGCCUCGGAGCUGAGGUGGGGUGAGACAGAGUGGGAGAGAUUACGGCAUGGCAUGGAGGGGCCCAAGGAGCAGGGGCUGUUGACAAGGGCCUUACCAGGAAGGGUUAGGACACUGACCAUUCUAGAAAUGGGUUUCGAAUGGCACAACACUUUCUAUUCCACAAAAGACCAAAAGCCAGAGGCCCCAGGCUCUGUGCUGAUGAGCAGCCUGGCUGAGCCCUGGCCCUGGCAGGUUUAGGGCCCGUUUGGGGCCCCCUCCUUCUCUGUCAGGGCUGGGGUGCUCUGUCUGGGAAUGAGGGAGUUAACCAGGUUUGGUGCAGGAACAGGGGCAGGGGGCCACUGUAGUGAGCGUGGAGAGACUUGGAAACACCUAUUUCUUAACUCAAAUAAAGUCCAGUUUGUACCC
rnacentral:sRNA from 1 species